CGCGAUUCGCCCUUCGGGGUGCAGCAGGCGCGAAAACUUUACAAUGCGGGAAACCGUGAUAAGGGGACACCGAGUGCCAGCAUCAUAUGCUGGCUGUCCGGGUGUGUAAAAUACACCUGUUAGCAAGGGCCGGGCAAGACCGGUGCCAGCCGCCGCGGUAACACCGGCGGCCCGAGUGGUGAUCGUGAUUAUUGGGUCUAAAGGGUCCGUAGCCGGUUUGGUCAGUCCUCCGGGAAAUCUGAUAGCUCAACUAUUAGGCUUUCGGAGGAUACUGCCAGACUUGGAACCGGGAGAGGUAAGAGGUACUACAGGGGUAGGAGUGAAAUCUUGUAAUCCCUGUGGGACCACCUGUGGCGAAGGCGUCUUACCAGAACGGGUUCGACGGUGAGGGACGAAAGCUGGGGGCACGAACCGGAUUAGAUACCCGGGUAGUCCCAGCCGUAAACGAUGCUCGCUAGGUGUCAGGCAUGGCGCGACCGUGUCUGGUGCCGCAGGGAAGCCGUGAAGCGAGCCACCUGGGAAGUACGGCCGCAAGGCUGAAACUUAAAGGAAUUGGCGGGGGAGCAC
rnacentral:rRNA from 1 species